rnacentral:rRNA from 1 species
UGGGGAAUUGUUCGCAAUGGGCGCAAGCCUGACGACGCAACGCCGCGUGGAGGAUGAAGGUCUUCGGAUUGUAAACUCCUGUUGCUCGGGACGAAAAGCUCUGACCUAACACGUCGGAGUCUGACGGUACCGAGUGAGGAAGCCCCGGCUAACUCUGUGCCAGCAGCCGCGGUAAUACAGAGGGGGCUAGCGUUGUUCGGAAUUACUGGGCGUAAAGGGCGCGUAGGCGGCCCUCUAAGUCGAACGUGAAAUCCCCGGGCUCAACCCGGGAACUGCGUCCGAUACUGGAGGGCUCGAAUCCGGGAGAGGGAUGUGGAAUUCCAGGUGUAGCGGUGAAAUGCGUAGAUAUCUGGAGGAACACCGGUGGCGAAGGCGGCAUCCUGGACCGGUAUUGACGCUGAGGCGCGAAAGCCAGGGGAGCAAACGGGAUUAGAUACCCCGGUAGUCCUGGCCCUAAACGAUGAAUGCUUGGUGUGGCGGGUAUCGAUCCCUGCCGUGCCGAAGUUAACGCAUUAAG